CCAGUAGUCAUAUGCUUGUUUCAAAGAUUAAGCCAUGCAUGUCUAAGUUCACACCCUCGUACGGUGAAACCGCGAAUGGCUCAUUAAAUCAGUCGAGGUUCCUUAGAUGAUCCAUUUCUACUUGGAUAACUGUGGUAAUUCUAGAGCUAAUACAUGCCCAACAGCUCCGACCCCGGGCUUCGCGGUUCGGGGAAAGAGCGCUUUUAUUAGUUCAAAACCAGUCGGGGGUUUCGGCCCUCGUGCUUUGGUGACUCUGGAUAACUUUGAGCCGAUCGCAUGGCCUCGAGCCGGCGACGCAUCUUUCAAAUGUCUGCCCUAUCAAAUGACGACGGUACGUGAUCUGCCUACCGUGUUGACUACGGGUAGCGGGGAAUCAGGGUUCGAUUCCGGAGAGGGAGCAUGAGA
rnacentral:rRNA from 1 species